rnacentral:rRNA from 1 species
AUGGCGGCCAUCUGCGCCGUGCUGGUCAUCCUCCUGUCUGGCGUGGGGCAGCCGGCGAUGGCCUACGUCGACGGGCUAGCUUGCCCUAGCGCGGCCACGCCAUGCCGCGCAGACUGCUUUCCUGUGUGCAACGACAGUGCGCCGUUGGUGUGCAACAAGCUCUGCGGCCUAACGCCUUCAGGGCUCGGCGUCGUGGACAAGGCCUGCGUGGACCAUUUCUUCACAGCUUGCAUGGCCAUCUGCAAGAACAUGUGCGAGCCCUAG